ACAGGAAAGUGGUGUUGUCCAGCGAGGAAGAGGAUGACAGCCCUACACCUCCACUACCUCCAUCCACCCUCGGGUCAGCCAUGUCACCACCCGAAUCCCUGCCAACGAGGGACAUCCUUUUACGCAUCCUCGAACUUCUUGAGGAACUUAAAGAAGACAAUCGGGCCACUAGAAGGAUGCUACAAGCGCAGCGUGGCAACGGUGGCGACACCCUUUCUUUUAUCCCAGAUGGUUUCCCCCUAAAGACAGUUAGAGAAGUCGAAGAAAUGGAGGAGAAACUGUCUGACCCAAGCUUUAAUUCUGACCUGAUCACAGCAGUGGCAGACAUUGGAGGGAGCAUUGUGGAUGAGGCCACAAGACAGAUAGUGGUCUUCAUCAUGGACCAUGACCUGUCAAGGCUGUAUAAUUUUGUGGGCCGGAAUGGCAAGCGGGAAUCCGGUCUUUAAAGCUGUUUGAAAAGUUAUAUUUGGAGCUUUAAAGAAGAACAGCCUAACCAGCCAGAUGUGGAGAGGGCAGUGUCAAAAUGGCUGAUUGAAUCUAGGGACAGGGGAGGCAAUAGACAGCCCAGACAGGUCCGUCCUUCUCCCACUAGAUCCACUUCUCGCUCAGCCGAAGAAAAUUUGUUAUGGGACCUUUUUUUUUUUUUCUGUUCCACUUUUUGUCUUGUAUAAAACUUUUAUAAUCUGUAUCAUAUUGUGUGUAUUAUGCAUCUGUAAAAUACAUAUUAUGCUUUUGAAAUAAUAAAAAACCUUGAACAAUGA